rnacentral:piRNA from 1 species
UACAAAAUUCAUCCGGAAGCGAGCCUCCUC